rnacentral:rRNA from 1 species
UACUAGAGUAGCACUCGCAUAUCAAUAAGCGGAGGAAAAGAAACUAACAAGGAUUCCCCUAGUAACGGCGAGUGAAGCGGGAAGAGCUCAAAUUUGAAAUCUUAAAGGGUUUCCCUUUACGAAUUGUAGUUUAAAGGAGUGUUUUCUGUUGAGGUUUUGGUAAAAGUUCUUUGGAAUAGGACAUCAUAGAGGGUGAGAAUCCCGUAUUUGACCUUUACUUUCAACUUUGUGAUACACUUUCAAAGAGUCGGAUUGUUUGGGAAUGCAGUCCAAAAUGGGUGGUAAAUUUCAUCUAAAGCUAAAUAUUGGCGAGAGACCGAUAGCGGACAAGUACCGUGAGGGAAAGGAUGAAAAGAACUUUGAAAAGAGAGUUAAACAGUACGUGAAAUUGUCAAAAGGGAAGCGUUUGACACCAGUGUUGUUUUUCUGAAAAUCAAUUAAAGAACUGUUUAUGCUAAGUUGUUUAGACUUUAUCAGCUAACUGUUUAGUUUUGAGCUUUUCUUUAAUGCACUUUUCAGUUAACAAGUCAACAUCAAUUUCUUUUGCUGUAAAAAAGCUUGAGGAAGGUGGCUUGAGAUUCGUCUUAAGUGUUUAUAGCCUCUUGCCUAUGCAGUCGGAGAGAUUGAGGUCUGCAGUGUAGAUCCUUCGGGGCUAAAUGCAUUUGUGCUAAGUUAUAGCAUUUUAUAGACAACUUGUUGACUAUGAUUUGUCUUGUAGCUUACUCGCUUAUGUUAUUUUACCUACGCUUAGGAUGUUGAUAUCGCGCUCUCACU